UCUGGUUGAUCCUGCCUGAACUGAUGUGUUCAUUUCAAAGAUUAAGCCAUGCAUGUAUAAGUUUAAUCGUUUUAACGAGAAACCGCGAACGGCUCAUUACAAUGGCCAUGAUUUACUUGAUCUUGAUUAUCUAAAUGGAUAACUGUGGAAAAGCUAGAGCUAAUACAUGCACCAAAGCUUUGUCCUUACGGAAAAGCGCAUUUAUUAGAACAAAACCACGCGGCUAUGGCUGCUUCUUGUUGACUCAGAAUAACUAAGCUGACCGCAUGGCCUUGUGCCGGCGGCGUGUCUUUCAAGCGUCCACUUUAUCAACUUGACGGGAGCAUAAUCGACUCCCGUGGUGGUGACGGAUAACGGAGGAUCAGGGUUCGACUCCGGAGAAGGGGCCUGAGAAAUGGCCACUACGUCUAAGGAUGGCAGCAGGCGCGCAAAUUACCCACUCUCGGCUCGAGGAGGUAGUGACGAGAAAUAACGAGAUCGUUCUCUUUGAGGCCGGUCAUCGGAAUGGGUACAAUUUAAACCCUUUAACGAGUAUCAAGCAGAGGGCAAGUCUGGUGCCAGCAGCCGCGGUAAUUCCAGCUCUGCUAAUACAUAGAAUUAUUGCUGCGGUUAAAAAGCUCGUAGUUGGAUUCGUAUCGGUACCCUGGAACCCUGCGGGUGUUUCUGGGUGUUAUCGAUUUAUCGUAAUGUUCGGUUUUGAGUCCUUAACAGGAUUCUUAACAGGCAUUGCAAGUUUACUUUGAACAAAUCAGAGUGCUUCAAACAGGCGUUUUUGCUUGAAUGAUCGUGCAUGGAAUAAUAGAAAACGAUUUCGGUUCAGUUUUAUUGGUUUUACGGACUGAGAUAAUGGUUAACAGAGACAAACGGGGCAUUUGUAUGGCCCCGUGAGAGGUGAAAUUCUUGGACCGUGGCCAGACAAACUACAGCGAAAGCAUUUGCCAAGAAUGUCUUCAUUAAUCAAGAACGAAAGUCAGAGGUUCGAAGGCGAUCAGAUACCGCCCUAGUUCUGACCGUAAACGAUGCCAACUAGCGAUCCGCCGAUGGAAAUUAUAUUGCCUUGGUGGGGAGCUUCCCGGAAACGAAAGUCUUCCGGUUCCGGGGGAAGUAUGGUUGCAAAGCUGAAACUUAAAGGAAUUGACGGAAGGGCACCACCAGGAGUGGAGCCUGCGGCUUAAUUUGACUCAACACGGGGAAACUCACCCGGCCCGGACACUGUGAGGAUUGACAGAUUGAUAGCUUUUUCAUGAUUCAGUGGAUGGUGGUGCAUGGCCGUUCUUAGUUCGUGGAGUGAUUUGUCUGGUUUAUUCCGAUAACGAGCGAGACUCUAACCUACUAAAUAGCUGGUACAUAAUUUAAGUGUAUACAGCUUCUUAGAGGGAUUUGCGGUGUUCAGCCGAAAGAAAUUGAGCAAUAACAGGUCUGUGAUGCCCUUAGAUGUCCGGGGCUGCACGCGCGCUACACUGGCAAAAUCAACGUGCUUGUCCUACCCCGAAAGGGGCGGGUAAACCAUUGAAAAUUUGCCGUGAUUGGGAUCGGAAAUUGCAAUUAUUUUCCGUGAACGAGGAAUUCCAAGUAAGUGCGAGUCAUCAUCUCGUGUUGAUUACGUCCCUGCCCUUUGUACGAUCGCCUUCAGAGGUUCGAAGGCGAUCAGAUACCGCCCUAGUUCUGACCGUAAACGAUGCCAACUAGCGAUCCGCCGAUGGAAAUUAUAUUGCCUUUGUGGGGAGCUUCCCGGAAACGAAAGUCUUCCGGUUCCG
rnacentral:rRNA from 1 species